rnacentral:piRNA from 1 species
UUGUUUGUUACUGUCAUUCCCAUUCUU